rnacentral:rRNA from 1 species
CACGGGGGGAGCAAGCGUUGUUCGGAAUCACUGGGCGUAAAGGGCGUGUAGGCGGUCAAGUAAGUGGAACGUGAAAUCCCUCGGCUUACCCGAGGACCUGCGUCCCAAACUGCUUGGCUUGAGUAUGGGAGAGGAUGAGGGAAUUCCUGGUGUAGUGGUGAAAUGCGUAGAGAUCGGCAGGAACACCCAGGGGGAAACCAGUCGACUGGGCAUCUACUGACGCUGAGGUGCGAGAGCGUGGGGAGCGAACCGG